rnacentral:lncRNA from 1 species
UACAAAUAUAGAUAAGCAACUUUGACAACAAACUAUUGACAUGUGGAUUGUUGCAUUACUUUGCAUUACAUUAGGUUAGUUUGUUUUUAUUCUGUAACAUAAAUUAAAGUAGAAUAAGUAAUGAUCAUGUAUGACAUAGUUACGUUUAUAGCUGUGGUUUUGACAAAUGAACCCGGAUAGUUAUAUAAGUAACAUAUUUAUAUUGUUGUUCUACAACUGUUUUCACUAGAAAAAAGUGUGUUCAACGUAAGAAAGGAACAGUUGGUCUUUUGUUGUUUUGGUUCUAUUUUCUGUUAUUAAAUAUUUCUGAAAUAUUAUUUUUUAUAAAUUAUUUGAUAUGUUCUAAUGAGCCUGACGUUCAAUAAUUGUUUAUCCGGGUGGUAUUUUACCUCAACUUUGUCAUAAAUGGUCAACUUGGUACCAGAAUCUAUGACAAGCUAGACGAUUUUAAUUUUCAAGUUUCCACAUACGUACGUAGCAAUAUACCAACUUCGCCUGCAUUUGUGAAAUACUUUUUCGAACGCUUCAGUAUUCAAGAGCUUGCAGUUGCUUCUCAGACUUUAUAAAAAAAAGUCACUAGUGUCCAGGCACAAAAUGGAUAAACAAGGAUUAUGUCAAAGAAUGUCUCUUCCUUUUUCUAUAAAUAAAGUUAAUGGAAGAUACCAAGACCUUGUUGAUAAAUAUUCAAUAUCAACUUCAAUAAUAAUACUUGAUGGUCUUGAAGUAUAGAUUCUAGGAACUGACGGUGUUAAUCGUCUCUGAUGUAAUCUCCCUUAUUUUGCGUCCGUACAAAUUCAGGCUUUCUGGACUAUUUGUCUUUCGGUGUUGUUGUCUUUUGUUUUGUAUUUUGAGAAGGGUUGUACAGUCCAAUGUAAUAUUUGUUUGUAAUUUUCUGUUAUAUUUUGUUUUAUUUAUACGUCAAUAUUUACAAUAAAAAAGGCUUCUUGUUUUCUUGUUACUUUGUGUGAUUGUUGAUUUGGAUUUAUUUUGUUAUUAUGGUUGUUUGUGAUUUCUUUUUUUUCUAUUUGUUUACAAAAGAUGGUAAAGAUAUAAUGUUUCGUUCUUUGUUUUUACUGACAGGCGUAGUUUGUUCGAUUUGCCCUCCAGAAUGGCACACCCACAACAGCAAUUGUUAUUUAUUUAGCAAAGAAGUCCUUUCAUGGGAUGGCGCACAGGUAAGACUAAAAUAAUUUUAUCUGUUCAGUAGGAAGCACAGUUAGUCUUACGGAUAGCUAUAACUGUUUCAAUAGUACUAAAUAAUAGUACCAAACAAUGUUUGUAUAUUAUGCAAGGCCUAUAUAAAAUGUGUAAGCAAAUCCUGGUCCACAUGUAGCAUUAUAUUAACAUGCAUCUCUUUCUGAAAAGGAUAUUGAGAAACCUCAGGAAAUUCAACACGUCAGAGACACUAAGGAGUAUAAGGACUCAUUCAUAAAAAAAACCUUUUACCAUCGUUAUCUUUGAUGAAUCUCAUAACUACUGGUUUACAAAUCAAUUUUGAAACUUUACAUAGUUGAAGCUGAUUUGGUAAUAUAAAAACUACCUAAACAUAACACGUCAUGUCGUAAAGACAACUGAGCCUCGUAUGUGGUUAUCUGAUGUUUCAACUUUAAGUUUUAUUUGAUUAGGAGAUACUGGUAUUCUAUUUUGUUUGAUUAUCUCAUAAUUUCUCUUUGUCUUUGAGCGAUUUAGAACCGGACAUCUUUGUAUUGUUUUAUAUAUUGUGACUGCAUGUUUACUUCUAGAUAAUUGUUUGUCUUCUAAGUUCUUGUAUGGUUGUCGUAUACCUUUUUUAUUCAUAUGGUUUACUUGAAUUUCAACUUUGAAGAGUUAUUUUACUUUCAUAAUGAUUUUACGCAUAUCCAUUACAUCACAAUAGAAAUACGAAGCAUAUACUUUUUGAAAAUAGCAUUAGUAAUACAUUAAAUCAUUGAAAAAUGGUACACUUCGAUACUAUAUCGGAUAUUGUAUUUAGGAUUAUUGCCAAGAAUUCGGAGGUUACUUGACUGAAAUAACAACGAGAGAGGAAAACAGUUUCAUUGAACAAACGUCAAAACAGAACUAUCACCCAAACCGUACAGCGCACGGGAAAUACCUAUACGG